ACCUAAAAAUGGAGAAAUAAAAUUAAUUAAAAUUAAAAUGGAGAAUUAAAAGAUGGUUUAUUACACAAACUGGCCACUGUCUCCAAAUUGCUAUUAUUUUAGCUUAGGCUCUGUAGUCUUUUCCUUCCUGAAAGAUUGGGCUGUAGACUGCCAUAUAAACUAGUUUAAAAUCAACAGAUGUGUUUAAAGCAAGCUUGUAUCUAAACUGGGUUAAGUUUAAGUCUGGUUGUAGAUGGUGGUUGGCUAAUCACUUCCAUUUUCAUACAGCCUCAAUUCUUUUUGAGUGCUUGGUAUGACAUCAGUGAGAAUUAAUAGACUGGAAGGUUUAGGCAUCUGCUGCAUAGGUGCACAUGCAGUGUGCUGGAGACAGACAGUGCUGAGUGUCUUUUGACAUUCUGACAACUGAUACACCCAUGCUCACUUAUGCACUGGGAAUGUGUUCUGGAACACCCAGAGCACACAGGAUACAUUGGCAUGCAGUAAUUUUUAUUUCCAUAGGAAUUUACUUCUAAAUAGUCCAGUUAUUAUGUUUAAACACUGGUAGUGAAUACAAGAAUGUUUCUGCUAUGAAUCAUAAACUCCUAAAAAGAGAACAAAAGUUUAUUUUUCAUUGAGGCAUCACAGACACUAUGGUUACUCAAUUAAAGCAGAUUGAAAAGAGUCUACUUCUGCUGCCAUGAAUUUGUAUGAUAUUACUUGGGAUUUUACACAAAAAGGUAUUAUCAUAUAUUUUUCUUGAUUUGUCUAUAAUGAAAUAAUUCCCCAGCCCUGGACUGACGACAAGUGACUUUUCUCAUUGGAAAGAUAGAGGCUUUAAAAGAGGAACAGAAAUCUUAUUCAUAAUUUGACUUUAAGAAAUCUUGUUUGCUCAAAGUGCCUAUGUAUCAAAUCUGUAUCUUCACUUCUCUUAUAAAGUAUAGGAAUGGUAAAAUACCUAAACUUAUUGUUAAAAUACAGCUAAAUUGGCAUCUAAAUGUUUUAUGAAUCUCAGAACUACAACUUUAUGGAUUAAGAUAAAUGAAUAUCAAAUUUCUUAUGUGUGGGUGUCACAAGGCACAUGCAAACAUCAAAUAAAUUAGUGUAGAUUUUACUGGAAAGCAAACUGAAGAUCUACAUAGAUUUCAAAAAUUUCAAAGAAAAGUCAGUUGUUGUUAUUAACAGUUGUUUGAAACAGGUUGUUUUUAAGGUAAUUUGCAUGUAUAUAUAAAAAUGUAUCAUUUACGUUCUGACAAUUAUAUUACUCUUACUCAUUUUUGUUAUCUCAUUUAAUAAAUAUUUGCACAUACUUUCAUUAAAAGGUCACAUAAGUACAUACCACUGCAUUACUUCAACCUCUUCUAAAAAAAGAUCAGAAAAUAACAAGCCCAAAUCCUGAUAUUGGUCAGCACCAUAGGAUCUGAAUCCAGCCCUAGUUUUCAAAAAUUGCCUGAAUCUGAGUUGUUUGUAUUCAAGUAUUCUGUUACCUGUUUCUGAUGAUAUAUGACUAAAUACUUUAUUAGGACUAAAUAUUUUAUUGAUGAAGCAAGCUAUCUGAUCAUUGCAACUCUAUGAGUCCAACUAUAUUUAAACAGUAUUUCAGAAUGCACAAGACACAUAUACACAAAACCAAUCUUACUAUAUUCCCAUGUAACCCACCUUACUUUUCUGACUAUUUUACCUGAUUCAUGGCACUGUUAUUUUAUAGCUGCACUUUAUGGCUAUUACCUCAUUUUAAUUUUUAUUCUAAAACAGUAUGAUUUACUUUAGCUUGGAAGAUCUGGACAAGCCAUCUUCAGCCUUUUAACUUCAACCACAGGAAAUCAGUGCACUGUCUGUAUGUUUAGAAGCAACCUCCACACUCCUUUGAUGCAGAGGUACCAAAAAGUGUGACUCAGCCUCUCUCCUAGGAGACAUAAAGAGCUGGUUCCAGUGACUCCACCACAUUGCAAAAGAGGUUUGCAGGAUUUGUUGCUGCUGCUUCAGUCCCUGAUGCUGUAGAUCUGCAUUUUUUCACAGGUCAGAUGAACCAAGUGCUUUGGAUCCCUUUCCAGUUCUUUCGUACUGCUGUCGAAACAGUAAUAUUUCAGUAUUAAGGUAAAAGCAUGUGGUGGCUCCAGAAUACAUCCACUAAGAGAAGGGAGUUUACAAUGAAAGGACUCCACUCAAGACCCAAUCCCAACGUCGACCUCAAGCCUCCCGGCGCUGGAACAUGCAGAAGCUCUGUCACAGCUGCUGACGAAUCUGCCGGGAAUGUAAGGACAACUUUCUCAUAGACUUAUUCAGUGCAAACUGAGGCCACAUCAACUGUAAUUUACAGGAACUUUUUCAAUGACUCAUAUUUAAAUUUACUCUAUUUUUAUUGUUAUGGCCUGCACUUCCUAUUUUUGACAGAGACCUUUAAAUCACAGGGAUUUUCAAGGGAUUUUUAUGGUUCUUUCACUGAUGGGAUUACAUCUUCUGUAUAGGAAUGGUUUUUCAGAAGAUGUCAGUGCGUGGAAGUAGCUUGACUGUCAGAAUGACCGACAGGCACACAAAAGGAGUUCAACAACUGGCUUGCACGAGGUCCUGGCCCGUUGAAGCUACUGCUAGAAAAAGAAAAGGCAGAGACAGACUAUGAGAUACACUUUCUUAUCAGCCAAAGGAAUGAAGAGCACAGCGCUCUUCCUUCUCAGCCUAUUUCUCUGAAUAAUUCUUGCCCUUUUCAGAACAGUACAUUACAUGCAAUAAUUGUGCAACGUGCUUGUAUGAGGUGGGGGCGUAGAAACAGGUUUGGUGUGCAAUUCAGGUUGGAAAUGUGCCUCAGUGAAUUAGUGUCAUUUACCUCAGCUCCCGGUGUAAUUGCUCUUGUUGCUAGCCAGUCAUACUCAGAAGAUUGAAAUAAAUUUUGAUUCAGCAUUCAGUUACGGGGCUUAAUUGCUUUACAAAAUAUUAUGCAUUGUUACAAAUACACCAGAAUAGUGGAGUUACCCUCACAUGCUUGCAUAUCAAAAAGAAGAUUGCAUUCCAAAAGAAGCAAUCCCCUUAACUGCAAAUAAGAGGCUUUAAAAGAUCUUUGGCUUGAAUAAAAAAAUGCCUUCUUCUUGGAGCCUAGCCCACAUCCCUGUGUAUAAAGUCCACUAGGACUUUGUGAGAAUAUCAAACAACAAAACCAUGUUCUUUGUCCAACGUGGAGUUCUGCUCUAGAUGCAGAGUUAGAGUGCUGCUCAUGCCUUGCCAAAAAAGCAAAUGUGUACCAGAAGCAAAAACAGAAGUUCUAUUGAAAAUACUGUUUGUUUGCAGAGAAAGAAAUGAACCAACAUUUUUUUGUUCCCCCCACCCACCAAAAAAAAAAAAAAAUCUGUCCAAUGUUUGGGUUUCAAAGGAAAAUGUCACAAUUGUACCAGAGCACCUCAGCAGUAAAAGGGCUACCAUUUUUCUUGUGUUAUACCAACAUCCAUCCAGUAUCUAAAGGCAUGAGUGCUGUCAGGAUGAAAUGCAGUAGUUUAAUCUUCUGAUUUUACAGCAAGGCUAUAACAGUUAUUUCCUCCUGUGUUUUCUAAAAAAAUUCUUGUAACAUAAAAUGGAGAAAAACAAAAGCCACAUAUCCCAGCAUGGCUUUUUACCCUUAACAUAGAUGUACGAUGUUGUCUUUGGUCUGACACAUUUCAAGCGUGUACCUGAUUAUACUUUACCCUCCCCCUCAGCUUCAGUGCCAUUCACAGAUUAUUAGAUUAUCUAAUCAAUUUAUUUGCUUUGAAUCAAGAGAACUUCAGAGAAGCUACUGCCAUGAGCUUUCCACCACUUUUUUGGUCAGGAUUUUCUAUUUUAAGAGACUGACAUUAACUUGGACGACAAGAAAGGGUUUUUGUUUGUUUGUUUGUUUGUUUUUGGGGGGAGGGGGGCAUUUUGUUGUUUUCACUGUUUUUCUGCAAAGUUCAUCUGGUGGACUGAAACUGUUUACAGCUCUUGAUAUUCUAAGAGGCCAGUACAAUCUAUUCAGUUAUUUUCUGUUUAGUUAAGCUUAUUAGAUCGGCAGUUACUUUUGAAAAUCACAGUGAGAAAGUUACUCUUUAAACUGACAAUACCGCAGAAUCAGAUUUCUAAUGCACUGAAAAAAAAAAUAUGACAAUACAGACAUUUAUUCUUUGCUGUUUGUUUUUAUAUUUCUAUUUGUUUCAUAGGUCACAUUUUCAAUAAAAGAAAUUCAUAAAUAUAUGCAAACAUUUUACAGCCCUUCUUGGAAAAUGGCAUUGCACACACAAGACAAGAACUAUUCAGUUGCAUCCAAAAUUGUAGUUCUUUAUAUGUGCAUAGGGAAAUCCAGCUGUGAAAACAAACUGAGAGACUGAUAAUCUUUUGGUGUAAUUACAAUAGGCUCAAAGCAUAACAC